UACGUAGGGUGCGAGCGUUGUCCGGAAUUAUUGGGCGUAAAGAGCUUGUAGGCGGUCUGUCGCGUCUGCUGUGAAAAUCCGGGGCUCAACCCCGGACUUGCAGUGGGUACGGGCAGACUAGAGGUGUGGUAGGGGAGACUGGAAUUCCUGGUGAUAGCGGUGAAAUGCGCAGAUAUCAAGGGAAGAACACCCGUGGCGGAAGGCGGCUCUCUGGGACGGUA
rnacentral:rRNA from 1 species